UCGCCGCGCCUCCAGGAUUCUAACUUCGAUCCUCGAUCCAUACACAGCUCUGCGUUACUGCCGCACACAUCUCUCGUCCCCAUCCCCUCACCGUCCACAAGGCCCCUUCGCUGCUCUCCGCGCACCAUUCCGCCCAGAUGGACACUGCACCCGAUCAUCGCGAGCCCCAGGAGCAGGGCGAGAGUCGCAAGUGGUAUGAAAUGACUGCAAGCGAGUUCUACGUGUACGUCGUCGCGUUCAUGUGCGGCGUGUCCAUGAUGAUGCCCGUCAAUGCCGUCUUCUCCGCGCCUGCAUACAUUAUGACGUACUACCGCUACGCCAUGCAGGACCCGGAAGCGGUUCCGCUGUACACAAACUUCUGGAACAACGUCAUGACCUACUACAACCUCAUCGGUAUCGUGACGAGCCUGAUCAUGGAGCCGCUGACGCUGCUCAGCUGGUUCCGCCGCAUCCCGAUGAAGGUGCGUCUGCUUGGCGGCCUGGUCAUCCUGAUCGUCGAGAUCAUCGUGCUUAUGGUGGUGCCUGCGCGCGGCACGAGCGAGGCCGGUGCCGUGGCGACGAUCUGCUGCACCGGUUUCAUUGGCGGCUUCGGCAAGAGCAUCUUCGAGUCCACGACGUACGGCAUGUUCGGUGCCUUCCCCUCGAGCUUCACGUCCACCAUGAUGGGUGGCGUCGGCAUGUCUGGUGUGCUGACAUCGCUGCUGCAGAUCAUCGUGAAGGCUGCGCUGCCCGACUCCUACGAGGGCGUGAAGAAGCAGUCGAAGAUCUACUACGGCCUGGACGUGGGUAUCCAGGGCAUGACCUUCGUUGCGCUGAUCCUGCUCCGCUUCAACAGCUUCGCCCAGAACUACUUCGGUGACCUCGGUGCUGUGAAGAGCAAGGUGGACGCCGGCAAGCUAUCGGCGGAGGCGCUCUGCCACACCGACGAGCACCCGACUCAUGACAAGGAGGGUCGCAACUCUUCUUCGGGCAAGGAGGUGCCGGCCCUGGGUGAGGUGCAGACGGCCGCCGCCAAGUCGGAGGGCCCGGAUGCGGUGGAAGAGAGCUCAUGGCCGCACGAGGUGGAGGGCCCGACGAGUAACGAGAUCCUCGUGGCCACCGCCAUCUUCAGCACGCUGCGCCGUGUCAAGUGGAUGUUCGUCGCCUGUGCCUUUAAUUUUCUCAUCACGCUGUUCCUCUUCCCCGGCAUCGCUGUCGGCAUGUUUCCGGACUCGAAGUGGUUCUCGACGAUCGCCGUGUUCAUCUUCAACGUGUUCGAUGUGCUGGGCCGCUUCUCGCCGUCGCUGAAGCUCAUGUGGCCGCGGUCGUACAAGCAGCGCUGGAUCAUCGUAGCGGCGUCCUUUGCGCGCGUCAUCUUUGUGCCGCUGCUGCUGCUGCACUCGUACCACUACAUCCCGGGCGAGGCGUACGGCUACGUGAUGGAGGUCAUCUUCGGCUUCUCGAACGGCUACGUGGGCUCGAUGGCGCUGGUGCUUGGCCCGCAGUCGAAGGGCAUCGACAACGACGGCAAGCGCUUCGUUGCCGGUACUCUGAUGGGCAUCUCCAUCCUCGUCGGUGGCACGAUCGGCACCGUGCUCAGCAUCAUGACGCAGACUAUUCGCGCGACUUACUAAAGGUAGCAGGCAGCACGUAAAGAGGGGGCGGACGACCAGCGGGGGCAAUGCAGACUUGAGUUGACAUCAGCGUGCAUAUGCGUGUAGCUGGCGAUGUUCGCAAAUGUGAGUGCGCGUUGGCGGCGACGGCUGCUCCAUCCCCCCCCCCACACACACACGCACGCACACAGAGAGAGAGGCAUGUACCGUCGACACAAUCGUUUCUCGCUAAGUUUUGUUCUUGUCCCUAAGAAGCGUUCGCUUUUCUAUUCUUUUUGGCCUGCCCUGACUCAAGCGCCGUCGCGCUCGCACAUCUCCGUUGACACCGCCAAAGGCCCUCCUCCUCUAACACCGAUAUAUAUAUAUAUACAUAUAUAUAUGGAUAAGUAGAUAGGUGUAAACGGAUAUUGUGCAUGUAUGUAGGGGCAUUGAGCUGUUACUGCCAUGUUCAGUUUUGUGUGGCUUCCGUCCUGGAAAUGUACCGUGUCAUGCAAGGACGGCGACGGGGUGGGGACAGAAAGAAAUCAAAGUCUCGCACCCACGGCGAACACGCGCACGCGCGCGCUCUCCCACCACUACCACCACCACCACCCCGUUUCUGUUCCGAGAAGGCCGUCGAUCAACAAAGGCCGGCUAAAGGCAAGGCCCCAGAAGAGCGGCGCGGGCACCUUCGCUUUUCGCCUUGUGCUGAUGUUCUCAACGAUGUCGGUGCAACGCUCUCUGUAUGCCUUUCCUUUUUCGUGUAUCCUCUCUGUUUUCUGCUUUCCUGUGCGUCUCUCCGUGUGUGUGUGUGUGUGUGUGUCUACAGGUGAUUGCAAAUCUUCCGAGCACAACACACAGCACCAUCCGUCCCCCUCUCCCUCCCUCUCUCUCGAUGAACCCACCCUUCUCGUAGCCCCUCCCGCCGCUGCCGCACUUACACGCGCGCGUAUCGACACUUCGUUGAACUCUUCUAAUGCUAUCUGUGUUGAUGCUUUCAUUUUAUUUUUUAACAUCCCCCUCCCCUCCCCCCCUCUCCCCCAGCCAUGGCAUGCUUACCUGCACACUUGCAUGUGACUGUGCCAUGUUAACGGCUUCCAGCGCAUACACCUCCCCAGCCCCACCACCACACACACACGCACGUACAUAUAUAUAUGUGCACGGACUCUAGAGCGAGAGAGUGUGUAUGUGUGUGUGGGUAAGAUAGAGAAAGCAAGAUGGGUAGAUGCGCGUGCGGGAAAGUGAUGGAGAGGGGUGGUGUGCUGUCUCCCACUGUCUGUGUGACGGUGUGGCCCGGACAGACACCACCACCACCAACCCUUCCUGCCCCCGCCAUCCCUCUCCUACUUUCUCUCUCACGCACACGCGCAUACAGGCACAUAGCGGGUGUGCGUGCUCGGUGUCGUCCUUCGCGUGCUGAGCUCCUCCCUCAGAAAAAAGCACAGUGCCUGUGUGUUUGUGCGUUGCCUCUUUGGUGUCCUCCCCCUCCCCCACUUCUCGUGUUCUGCAGUCGGCGCAACGCGCCCCCCCCCUCCCCCCACCACCACCACCACCUCACCCCUCUCGUGUGAAUGUGCGUGUUUUGGGUGUGGGUGUGACUGUGGGUGGGUGGGUAUGCCCGCGUAAAUGCCGGAGUGAUCAUCAUCACCAUCCUAAAAACUCUUUUCCUUUUCGUUGUUUUGCGCUCCACGUCAACGGUCACACUCCAUCAGACGCACGAACACCUAGAGGCACACACACACACACACACACUUGCACGUGCCUUUCCAGCACCGUGUCGUGAUGUGUGUUCGUCGCUCGUGCACCAACUCGCACAUCUGCAGGCGCGCACACACAGAGAGAGAGACAGCCGAU
rnacentral:misc_RNA from 1 species